AUGAAGUCAUAUCUUAUUUGGCUCUUGAAAGAACAUGAUGUCCCAAGAUAUCGAACACAAAAUGCAUGGAGCAAAGAGGCUUGGAGAAGUAUUGUGAAUGCAUUCAAUAUAAAGUUUGGUUUAUCACUCACAGUAACGCAGAUAAAACAAAAGGAGCAGGAUCUGAAGAAAGAUUUUAAAGCUAUACAAGACUUGAUAUCUGAAAGUGGUUUCGGUUGGGAUCGUGAUAGAAUGAUGGUGGUUGCUCCGGACAGUGUUUGGGAAGCAUUAAAGGCCCGUAAGAAAAAAGAUGCCCUCCGAUGGCAAGAUAAGUCAUUCCCAUACUAUAAUGAUCUAUUUGCUCUAUAUGAUGGGCGCUAUGCUCAAGGAAGGAGUUGUCGUGGCAUGGAUUAUUAUGCAAACAAGGCCAGAGAACUCUCUCAGGUCACUACAUCAUAUUCGCAACAGUUGGAAGGUCCCGAGGAGCAUCAUCGCUCACCUACACCGAACUUACCUGCUCCUAUGGAAUCGUGCAUGCAUAUUGAUACUGAAGAGGACAAUGGAAGCACUAAUUGGUUCUGCACCGAUGAUCCAUUACACCUAGAAGCUGUGAACUCAACUCAAGUGAAAGAUUCUGCAUUACAUGUUCAAUCAGAAGAUGCAAUACCAACACCAUUUUCUUCAAAGCAAACCCCACAUAUGUCGAUGGAACUUCCAGAAGACAUACGUAGAAAUUGUCAACCAUCUCAUUAUGCUCCUGAGCUUACUAGUGCUAAGAGGGGGAAAAGACAAAAGACUAAUUCUAGUAUUGAUGAUUUCCACGAGAGGUACCUGAGCCUCAAAAGAGAAGAGAUGGAACGGUUUGCAGCCAUCGAGGAGAGGAAAUUGGAGGAUCCCUAUAGCAUACAAAAAUGCAUUGCUGCACUUGAGGGGUUGCCGGAUUUACAAAUGGGAGAUAUACUAAAAGCAGCUGACCUCUUCACCAACAACAAGGACAACAGGGAAGUCUUCCUCUCAUUUUCAACUGAUGCAUUACGACUGGGCUGGUUAAGAAAUAAAAUUCAAAACACCUAG
rnacentral:rRNA from 1 species